CAAAUAUCUGUUCAGUCCAUUGGUGUGGAUGACCUGGAUGAUGAGGAUGAUGACGGGGGGACCACCUUGGGAAGAAGGGGAGUAAUGCAUACACGCUCCUCAACUCUUCCUCAAUGAAAUGGUUGACAAAGACCAUGACCCCAUGGCUAGUACAAGAGGCCCACCAUUGCUGAUCGGAAGAUGAAUAUCGUGCCCGUCGCAUCAUGCAGGUCAUAUCCCUGGCGAAUGGAUCCGUUCGCUGGC